rnacentral:lncRNA from 1 species
CUCCGAUUGGCUGAGCCGCGCGGCCUCGCGCCUCACGGACCGCGUCCGUGUAACGGAAAGGGCGCGCGCCGGCCGCGCGGGACUCGGGCGCUCUCUCCGCCGGCAGGAAACGGAAGUGACGGCGCCGCCGGGCGCGCCGCGAGAAGGCUGGUGACGGUUGCUGUCGUUACCGACCCGCUUGGGGACGUGCCGGCGGCGUGCGGAGCUGGCGCCGAGCCCAGCGCCGAGGGUGGGAGCGGCUCGGAGUUUUGCAGGAUGAGCGCCGUUGCUGAAGAUGCUAAGCCAGAAGAUGCCAAAC